rnacentral:rRNA from 1 species
CGGGGUGCAGCAGGCGCGAAAACUUUGCAAUGCGGGAAACCGUGACAAGGGAACUCUGAGUGCCCGUUAAAUCGGGCUGUCCAUCGGUUUAAAUAACCGGUGAAGAAAGGGCCGGGCAAGACCGGUGCCAGCCGCCGCGGUAAUACCGGCGGCUCGAGUGGUGGCCACUAUUACUGGGCUUAAAGCGUUCGUAGCUGGUUUGUUAAGUCUCUGGGGAAAUCUUCCGGCUUAACCGGAAGGCGUCUCAGGGAUACUGGCAGACUAGGGACCGGGAGAGGUGAGAGGUACUCCAGGGGUAGGAGUGAAAUCCUGUAAUCCUUGGGGGACCACCUGUGGCGAAGGCGUCUCACCAGAACGGCUCCAACAGUGAGGGACGAAAGCUGGGGGAGCAAACCGGAUUAGAUACCCGGGUAGUCCCAGCUGUAAACGAUGCGCGUUAGGUGUAUCGGUGACCACGAGUCACCGAGGUGCCGAAGAGAAAUCGUGAAACGUGCCGCCUGGGAAGUACGGUCGCAAGGCUGAAACUUAAAGGAAUUGGCGGGGGAGCAC